GUACAGAAACAAAUUUUGACGGAGAUCAAAGGCAACAAUCGUCACGAGAAAAAAGAAAAACGUAAAAAAGAACAGAAGACCGAUAAUGAUAACAAAAAAGCUAAACUGGAAGCUCUACUAAGAAAUCUUUUAAAAAUGGAAAAAUCAAACAGCGAUGACGUAACAAGCAGUGAAUCCUCUGAAAGCUCUGAAGAAGAUUCGUCUACCAAAGAAAGUAAAGACGGUGGAAAUAUAUUGGAAGACAUUUUGAAUGCGCUCAAUAACAAUGACAAAAAUAUCAA